UUGGAUGAGGAAGGCACCUGCCCUAGACACACUGUGAGUCAUGCACGAGAGGGAGCGAGCAGGCUGGAUACAUACUAGUGCAGUCCACGCCCGAUGUCAUGUCAGCCUAGGGAAGCGGAUUCAUUUAGUAGUCACGUAGCGCAUUAAGAAGUUGACCGCGGAGUGAGUCCGCAAGCAAGAUUCUCACUCAAAUUAACGGGGGGGGGCACAAGCAAGCGAGCAUGGAGUUUAAUUAGUAGCAUGCAGAAGAACAUUCCCAGGCUACCCCAUACAAUGCACUUUCGAAGCAGAGAUGCGUUCGUUGCUAAACAGAGAAACAGGACACAGAUGGUGCUUGUCAGUUGUCAUCUUGAGUUGUGAGAUUAAGUCCUAAAUCGAGCACAAACCGCAUCCUUAGUUUCCAGCAGGUCAGAAAGGGCACUCUAAAGAGACUGCCGGUGACAAACCGGAGGAAGGUGGGGAUGACGUCAAGUCAUCAUGGCCCUUACGGCUAGGGCUUCACACGUCAUACAAUGGUGCAUACAGAGGGUUGCCAAGCCGCGAGGUGGAGCUAAUCCCACAAAACCCAUCGUAGUCCGGAUCGCAGUCUGCAACUCGACUGCGUGAAGUUGGAAUCGCUAGUAAUCGCGAAUCAGCAUGUCGCGGUGAAUACGUUCCCGGGCCUUGUACACACCGCCCGUCACACCAUGGGAGUGGGUUGCACCAGAAGUAGUUAGUCUAACCUUAAGGAGGACGGUUACCACGGCAGGAUUCAUGACUGGGGUGAGGUCGUAACAAGGUAGCCGUAUGGGAACGUGCGGCUGGAUCACCUCUCUU
rnacentral:rRNA from 1 species